rnacentral:lncRNA from 1 species
ACCCCAGGGUCCCGAUGUCACCACGUCCCCAAGAUGUGGGUCGCAACUCCAGGGUGGGGGUCUCAGUGCCACCGUGUCCCCAGGGUGGGGGUCCCAAGGUCACCACGUCCCCAAGAUGGGGGUCCCACUCCAGGGUGGGGGUCUCACUGCCACCGUGUCCCCAAGAUGGGGGUCCCAACGUCACCACGUCCUCAGGGUUGGGGUCUUCGCUCCAUGGUGUCCCCAUGGUGGGUCCAUGACGGGGGUCUUGGUGUCACCACGACCCCAUGGUGGGGGUCCCAGUCCCAUGGUGACCCCAGGGUGGGGGUCCCAACGUCACCGUGUCCCCAGGGUGGGGGGUCUCAGCUCCAAGAUGGGGGUCCGCAGGUCACCAUGGUGGGGGUCCCAGUGCCACCAUGUCCACAGGGUGGGGGUCCCAGUCCCAUGGUGACCCCAGGGUGGGGGUCCCAAGGUCACCAUGUCCCCAAGAUGGGGGUCCCAGCUCCAUGAUGGGGGUCUCAGUGUCACCACGUCCCCAAGAUGCGGGUCCCAGUCCCAUGGUAACCCCGGGGUGGGGGUCUCAGUGUCCCCAUGUCCCCAAGAUGGGGGUCCCAGCUCCACGAUGGGGGUCUCGGUGUCACCACGUCCCCAAGAUGGGGGUCCCAGUCCCACGGUGACCCCAGGAUGGGGUUCCCAACCCCAAACUUGGGGUCCCAAAGUCACCACGUCCCCAACAGGACGAGAGGUGGGGG